GAGUUUGAUCUUGGCUCAGAACGAACGCUGGCGGCAUGCCUAACACAUGCAAGUCGAACGGGAUCCAGGCUUCGGCCUGGUGAGAGUGGCGGACGGGUGAGUAACGCGUGGGAACCUGCCCAAUGGUCUGGGAUAACCGCGGGAAACUGCGGCUAAUACCGGAUAAGCCCGAGAGGGGAAAGAUUUAUCGCCGAUGGAGGGGCCCGCGUCCGAUUAGGUAGUUGGUGAGGUAACGGCUCACCAAGCCUUCGAUCGGUAGCUGGUCUGAGAGGAUGAUCAGCCACACUGGGACUGAGAUACGGCCCAGACUCCUACGGGAGGCAGCAGUGGGGAAUAUUGGACAAUGGGGCGAACCCUCGAUCCAGCAAUGCCGCGUGAGUGAUGAAGGCCUUAGGGUUGUAAAGCUCUUUUGUCCGGGACGGAUGAUGACGGUACCCGGAGAAUAAGCCCCGGCUAACUUCGUGCCAGCAGCCGCCGUAAC
rnacentral:rRNA from 1 species